UGCGCAGGCGGCCAUGUGUGUCAGGUGUGAAAUACCGGGGCUUAACCCCGGAACUGCGCCUGAAACUACAUGGCUAGAGUACUGGAGAGGGUAGUGGAAUUCACGGUGUAGCAGUGAAAUGCGUAGAUAUCGUGAGGAACACCAGAGGCGAAGGCGACUACCUGGACAGUUACUGACGCUCAGGCACGAAAGCGUGGGGAGCCAAAGGGAUUAGAUACCCCUGUAGUCCACGCCCUAAACGAUGAUCGCUUGGUGUGACAGGUACCCAAUCCUGUCGUGCCGGAGCUAACGCGUUAAGCGAUCCGCCUGGGGAGUACGGUCGCAAGGCUGAA
rnacentral:rRNA from 1 species